rnacentral:rRNA from 1 species
CCUACGGGUGGCUGCAGUGGGGAAUAUUGGACAAUGGGGGGAACCCUGAUCCAGCCAUGCCGCGUGUGUGAAGAAGGCCCUCGGGUUGUAAAGCACUUUCAGUGAGGAAGAACGCCUGGUGGUUAAUACCCAUCAGGAAAGACAUCACUCACAGAAGAAGCACCGGCUAACUCCGUGCCAGCAGCCGCGGUAAUACGGAGGGUGCGAGCGUUAAUCGGAAUUACUGGGCGUAAAGCGCGCGUAGGUGGCUUGAUAAGCCGGUUGUGAAAGCCCCGGGCUCAACCUGGGAACGGCAUCCGGAACUGUCAAGCUAGAGUGCAGGAGAGGAAGGUGGAAUUCCCGGUGUAGCGGUGAAAUGCGUAGAGAUCGGGAGGAAUACCAGUGGCGAAGGCGGCCUUCUGGACUGACACUGACACUGAGGUGCGAAAGCGUGGGUAGCAAACAGGAUUAGAUACCCGGGUAGUC